CUAGAUUUGUACUCUCAAAAACGUGAGGUAAAAUACAUUAUAAAUACCUCAAGGAAGUCAUCUAGGUCCCCUAAUUUUCCUGCUGUAUUUCAACGAUGUCAACUACGUUAUCAAAUGCCCAUGAUUAAGCUUCGCAAACGAUUUGAAAAUGUUCCUGCGCAUCCGUUCUAUCUGUGAUGCUACGAUUCUUUAAGUUGAUAAGUUGUAACGUUGUUCGCCUUUUCUGUUUAAUUUUUGUUGUACAUAAUAUUUUGUAGUAAAAUCAUAGUUUCUAUCAUCCAUAACGAUUUAAAAUUAGUUUUUGAUAAUUUUUAGAUGUGCUAUAAUUUUAUAGCAUGUUUUGAUAAUUUUAAGAACCAUUCAUAUAUCAGCCGCCAAUUUAAAAUUUCUAGCCAUAAAUUUAGAAGCUUUAUCUGGAUAAAGCUAAAUAGUGGCAAACCUUAGAUGUAGAUGACCCGCAGAUUAAAUAAUUUCGUCUAAUGUUGUUUGAAAGUAUGCGUGAAUGUUGAAUGUCAUUGAAAGUGACUAAGCAUUUUAGGGUAUGAAGUAAAAAGUUCGCAGCUACUAUUUCACUUCUAAAUCAUUUAGGCUGAAGAGUAGAAGCCAGUUCUGUGAUUUUCUACGUUGCUAUUUAAAAGGUGUGUUAAAAACUCGAAGUGAAUAUUGAAAAUUAUUGAAAGUUUUAUUAGUAAAAGUUUUAAGAAGUGAAUUUAUUCCAAAGCAGUGAAGUGAAUUAAAAGGCAUUAAAUUUUUCCAUUCUAUUCUUUUUUGUUUUAAUGAACAAUAGUUCCAGUUUUUAUAUCACGAGGAACAGAGGUUCUGCUCUCGUGCAUUUUUCUAUAGUACAAAAGCAGCGUCCGAUUGACGCUUUUUGUACGGGCUUGAAAGCUCUACGGCCUUCGCUGGGCCAGUUACGUUCCACGAAGUGCCAUUCCGGACCGUGCGGGCCCGCCAUUACGGUAGCCAAACGGGGAAAGAGGCAAUCCGACCUGCCGAGAGUCUUCGAGGGAAGGUUUCAUUUCGUCACGGUGGUUGAGUAGUCCCGCAGGCGAGAACCAGUUGGAGGCACGUUGGCCUUCCGGACGAGAGGAGACGGUAGAGUAUCGGUCCAUCAGCCGCAGCCCAUCCCCGCAACGUUGUUUCGGCCCAUCACGCACGUGUGCCCCUCCCGACGACGCUUCUGUCGAGGAGCCCUGGUGAUCCCUGGAACAAAAGGUUCGGACACCCGCUGUAGCCGGUACCCCGGCCGCUGAACGUCACGAACUGUUGACCCACCCCUGUCGGUUCGAGCAGCUGCCAGCACCAGCAUAAAAUCCCUGAUCAGGUAUGUCGUAAAGCAUGGCCAUGUCACACACACUACAACACAUACACUUUCACGUUACACAUAAAUGAAUCUUUUGAAAAAAUGAAGACAAUACAUAAAUGAAUUCAAUCUAAA